ACGCUCGACACCUACGAGAGGCAGCAGUGGGGAAUAUUGCACAAUGGGGGAAACCCUGAUGCAGCGACGCCGCGUGAGUGAAGAAGUAAUUCGUUAUGUAAAGCUCUAUCAGCAGGGAAGAAAGUGACGGUACCUGAGUAAGAAGCCCCGGCUAACUACGUGUCAGCAGCCGCGGUAAUCUGAGCGGGCUGGCAAGGC
rnacentral:rRNA from 1 species